rnacentral:rRNA from 1 species
AACGAACGCUGGCGGCAUGCCUAACACAUGCAAGUCGAACGAGACCUUCGGGUCUAGUGGCGCACGGGUGCGUAACGCGUGGGAACCUGCCUUUAGGUUCGGAAUAACUCAGAGAAAUUUGAGCUAAUACCGGAUGAUGUCUUCGGACCAAAGAUUUAUCGCCUUUAGAUGGGCCCGCGUUGGAUUAGCUAGUUGGUGGGGUAAAGGCCUACCAAGGCGACGAUCCAUAGCUGGUCUGAGAGGAUGAUCAGCCACACUGGGACUGAGACACGGCCCAGACUCCUACGGGAGGCAGCAGUGGGGAAUAUUGGACAAUGGGCGAAAGCCUGAUCCAGCUAUGCCGCGUGAGUGAUGAAGGCCUUAGGGUUGUAAAGCUCUUUUACCCGAGAUGAUAAUGACAGUAUCGGGAGAAUAAGCUCCGGCUAACUCCAUG